ensembl:lncRNA
UGUUAACAAAAUGAUGGCAAUGUCAAGAAACAAACAAAAACACAAUGUUGAUGCAAAACAGAAGCACCUGGUAAAUAAAAGGGUAAACGUAGCCAAAUGAAGGACUCCGCAUGCUAGUGUUACAAAAUGAGCAAAUAAGAGAAGUGCACAACAACCAAACAGGAAAAAAAUAUCAAUCUACAUACCUUGGCCAACCGCUCACAGGCCGACCGCUCACAGGCCGACCGCUCACCACAGGCCGACCGCUCACCACAGGCCGACCGCUCACAGGCCGACCGCUCACCACAGGCCAACCGCUCACCACAGGCCGACCGCUCACAGGCCGACCGCUCACAGGCCGACCGCUCACCACAGGCCGACCGCUCACCACAGGCCGACCGCUCACCACAGGCCGACCGCUGACACAGGCCGACCGCUCACCACAGGCAAACCGCUCACCACAGGCAAACAGCUCACCACAGGCCAACCUCUCACAGGCAAAUGCACCUCUGAGUGGUCUGCUCUGUUUGGUUGAGAGAUAACUAAUAACUGCAUGUAAUUUAAAGGGAUAGCCCUAUCUCUUUCAGGUGGUGGCGAUCUAGUUGAUUAGUUGUGUGUGUUGAAACCAUGAUCUUACGGUCAUAUCCCGUUGAGUAUUGUUGGUCUAUUGCCCU